AUCUGUCCUUAUUAAAAGGAAGUGCAGAAGUUCAGCUGGAUAUAUUCUGCAGCACAGGCUGACUGUUUCAGGGCAGGAGUGGGGGGAAGCUGAUGCAGAGAGGAAAAUGAAGAUUUCAGAGACAGAAUAUUUAUGUUCUCCCUUGGGAGAGAAAAGGAACCGCAGGCCCUGGCAGAAGCAGUUUAUGACAGGUUUAAGUCAGGACUCUCUUUAAAAGAAACAAGAUCUCACUGCUGGCAGCACAUGUCUGGUGAACUCAUCCUGCAAGAGGAGCAGAACUGGUUCCUGAGCUGGAUAGGCUCUCAAUAUCAUCAUAGAACACCAUGUAUUUUCAGAUGUCCAGUGGUCUGAAGAGAGUUCCUCUGAAGAGAAGCAGAUGGACAAGCAGAAAGAAAUCAAAGUAUGAGCUAUUGCACGGGUCCCAGUAUUGGUACUGAUGAAAUUGUCUAAAUAGCCUUAUAUUCUGUCUUCAGCCAACUAACUAAAUAAAUAAAUUUUGUUUUAUGCA
rnacentral:lncRNA from 1 species